GCACGACUUAGCCCCGACGUAGAGCAACGGUUUCGUAAACCGUAGGCCUCGAGUUCAACUCUCGAGCCGGUGCG
rnacentral:tRNA from 1 species